rnacentral:rRNA from 1 species
ACGAACGCUGGCGGCGUGCUUAACACAUGCAAGUCGAACGGAAAGGCCCUGCUUUUGUGGGGUGCUCGAGUGGCGAACGGGUGAGUAACACGUGAGUAACCUGCCCUUGACUUUGGGAUAACUUCAGGAAACUGGGGCUAAUACCGGAUAGGAGCUCCUGCUGCAUGGUGGGGGUUGGAAAGUUUCGGCGGUUGGGGAUGGACUCGCGGCUUAUCAGCUUGUUGGUGGGGUAGUGGCUUACCAAGGCUUUGACGAGUAGCCGGCCUGAGAGGGUGACCGGCCACAUUGGGACUGAGAUACGGCCCAGACUCCUACGGGAGGCAGCAGUGGGGAAUAUUGCACAAUGGGCGGAAGCCUGAUGCAGCAACGCCGCGUGCGGGAUGACGGCCUUCGGGUUGUAAACCGCUUUCGCCUGUGACGAAGCGUGAGUGACGGUAAUGGGUAAAGAAGCACCGGCUAACUACGUG